rnacentral:sRNA from 1 species
GCUGUCGUCAGCUCGUGUCGUGAGAUGUUGGGUUAAGUCCCGCAACGAGCGCAACCCUCGUUCUAUGUUGCCAGCGGGUUAUGCCGGGGACUCAUAGGAGACUGCCGGGGUCAACUCGGAGGAAGGUGGGGAUGACGUCAAAUCAUCAUGCCCCUUAUGUCUUGGGCUUCACGCAUGCUACAAUGGCCAGUACAAAGGGCUGCGAUACCGCAAGGUGGAGCGAAUCCCAAAAAACUGGUCUCAGUUCGGAUUGGGGUCUGCAACUCGACCCCAUGAAGUCGGAGUCGCUAGUAAUCGCAGAUCAGCAACGCUGCGGUGAAUACGUUCCCGGGCCUUGUACACACCGCCCGUCAAGUCACGAAAGUCGGUAACACCCGAAGCCGGUGGCCUAACCCCUUGUGGGAGGGAGCCGUCGAAGGUGGGGCCGGCGAUUGGGACGAAGUCGUAACAAGGUAGCCGUACCGGAAGGUGCGGCUGGAUCACCUCCUUUCUAAGGAGCAACUGGCGUUCAGUCUUUGACUGGGCGUCCAUUGGCUGUUUCUCAGGCGAAUGUCCUGGGGCAGCCUGCUCAUUAGUGGAGCACUGGUUAUUCAGCUGGUUUCAUCAGCCAACGUCGUUAGUACACCUGCACUUGUGCGGGAGGAACGCGGGCCGCGGGGGUGAACUGGCUGGGCACGCUGUUGGGUCCUGAGGGAGCAGACGCUGUUUGGGUCUGUCCUUCUGGACUGGACCGGCAUUCCGCCGAACGGCCCCGGUCACACUUUCUGGUUCUGCCAGCUGGUGUGGUUACCGGGGUACGCGGCGGUCUGGGUGCCGGGACCGCCCGUACUUUGAGAACUGCAUAGUGGACGCGAGCAUCAUCUGUAGUAGCCAAGUUACUAAGGGCACACGGUGGAUGCCUUGGCACCAGGAGCCGAAGAAGGACGUAGGAGCCUGCGAUAAUCCUCGGGGAGCCGGCAACCAGGCUGUGAUCCGAGGGUCUCCGAAUGGGGAAACCCGG